rnacentral:tRNA from 1 species
AUUAAGAUGUCUGAUAAAAGUGGUAAACUGUAAAUUUACUUAUGAGUGUAAUAAAAAUUCAAGCUCUCUUAAUA